GACGAACGCUGGCGGCGUGCUUAACACAUGCAAGUCGAACGGAAAGGCCCUGCUUUUGUGGGGUGCUCGAGUGGCGAACGGGUGAGUAACACGUGAGUAACCUGCCCUUGACUUUGGGAUAACUUCAGGAAACUGGGGCUAAUACCGGAUAGGAGCUCCUGCUGCAUGGUGGGGGUUGGAAAGUUUCGGCGGUUGGGGAUGGACUCGCGGCUUAUCAGCUUGUUGGUGGGGUAGUGGCUUACCAAGGCUUUGACGGGUAGCCGGCCUGAGAGGGUGAACGGGCACAUUGGGACUGAGAUACGGCCCAGACUCCUACGGGAGGCAGAAGUGGGGAAUAUUGCACAAUGGGCGGAAGCCUGAUGCAGCAACGCCGCGUGCGGGAUGACGGCCUUCGGGUUGUAAACCGCUUUCGCCUGUGACGAAGCGUGAGUGACGGUAAUGGGUAAAGAAGCACCGGCUAACUACGUG
rnacentral:rRNA from 1 species